GGCACCGUGGCAGAGUGGUUAAUGCGUAGGUCUUGAAUCCAUUGAGAACCUAUCCCUUAGGGGUCGCGCGUUCGAAUCGCGUCGGUGUCG